rnacentral:lncRNA from 1 species
GGCGUAUUUUUUUUAUAAUUGAUCAAAACAAAAGUUAGAUAUACGAAGAGUAAAAAAUGCCAAGAUUCUUUCCUUAUUAACUACAUAUUUGGGUCUUAAAGGAAUAAAAUGCUUCCAUACAUUACAAAACGGUAGCCAAUUUUUCCAAAUGUCUGAAAACGUCUAAAAUCCUAAAGACGCUAAUUUCCGACGUUAAAUGUGCUAAAGUUUCAAUUAAAUGUUUAUGAUAAUUAAAACAAAUCGUGUUAUGAAAUUUGGAGAAAGAUGUUAAUGAUUGCUGCCGAAAAAAAAAAUAGUGCAUGUUGCUAAAGACUCCGCCCGGGGAAAUAGGUUCGACACAGGUUAAAUUUUGCAAUUUUUAUUAAUUGUAUAGCUUUUAACGAUUUAUUUAAAAGAAUUUGGAAAUGGGGGAAAAAUCCCAUUUUAUAAAAUAAAUUGAAAUUUAUGUUACGGAAGUACUCCGAAAUAGAUCAUUUAAAGUCGUCACUUCAGUUAGGUGCAAUCACCAAUAUCAAAACACUUAAUACCAGUUCACGGAAUGUUUUACUUCGCGAUUUGUCCUGCUAUUUCGUGAUGAAAGUAAUUCCUGUACUAGCGAAGCCGGAACUUUUCGUCAAUAUAAACUUGUGCAUGAAAUGGAGGUAAUUGAAAGACGAAUCCCAAACAGCAACGAAAACCGUUUCAUCGAAUUAAAAAAAACGGGAUUAUAUUUUUAUUUGCCGUUUUCGCGGACGACCCAGGAGUAGAUUACUAUAUUUUAAAAUGUAUAUAUCUGAAGAUGACUUGGGAAAUAAUUCUCAAGCCAAGGUUCAAGUAAUUGAAGGGGUGUAUUUCGACAACUUAUGUGUCAGGGAAAAUACAAUUCUAUUCAAAUUUAACCAAGGGUAAAAAUGUUCGAUUUACUUGCAGAGUGUCAGAUAUAUUUGUAUUGGGGAUGAAUUAAGAUAUAGAAAAUUUACAAUGACAGAUGAUAUGCAACUUGAAAGUUAAACAUCCUAUGAUAAAAAAAAUUAUUAAUGAAAACCGUAUACAUGUACUUCCGUCCCAUCUUUCCUUCCUACAUUACUUGCGACAGUACUGCAUUUUUAGUUGAAAUAACUUAAAGGGUAAACAUUAUUAUAUCGAUUUCCACAACUCGAGGUAAUUUUUUGAUAAAAUGACAUCACAAAACGAACAGAACCAGAAUCAACCAACAAUAUAAAAAACCGAAUAAAACUUGCAAAAAUUAAUCGAAGUCAAAGACCCUCUUCGACGUCGCAUUUUAAGUGUAACGUGUUGUAGGAAUAUCGUGUCCAAC